AGAGUUUGAUCCUGGCUCAGGACGAACGCUGGCGGCGCGCCUAACACAUGCAAGUCGAACGAGCGAGAGAGAGCUUGCUUUCUCGAGCGAGUGGCGAACGGGUGAGUAACGCGUGAGGAACCUGCCUCAAAGAGGGGGACAACAGUUGGAAACGACUGCUAAUACCGCAUAAGCCCACGACCCGGCAUCGGGAAGAGGGAAAAGGAGCAAUCCGCUUUGAGAUGGCCUCGCGUCCGAUUAGCUAGUUGGUGAGGUAACGGCCCACCAAGGCAACGAUCGGUAGCCGGACUGAGAGGUUGAACGGCCACAUUGGGACUGAGACACGGCCCAGACUCCUACGGGAGGCAGCAGUGGGGAAUAUUGCACAAUGGGGGAAACCCUGAUGCAGCGACGCCGCGUGGAGGAAGAAGGUCUUCGGAUUGUAAACUCCUGUUGUUGAGGAAGAUAAUGACGGUACUCAACAAGGAAGUGACGGCUAACUACGUGCCAGCAGCCGCGGUAAAACGUAGGUCACAAGCGUUGUCCGGAAUUACUGGGUGUAAAGGGAGCGCAGGCGGGAAGACAAGUUGGAAGUGAAAUCCAUGGGCUCAACCCAUGAACUGCUUUCAAAACUGUUUUUCUUGAGUAGUGCAGAGGUAGGCGGAAUUCCCGGUGUAGCGGUGGAAUGCGUAGAUAUCGGGAGGAACACCAGUGGCGAAGGCGGCCUACUGGGCACCAACUGACGCUGAGGCUCGAAAGUGUGGGUAGCAAACAGGAUUAGAUACCCUGGUAGUCCACACCGUAAACGAUGAUUACUAGGUGUUGGAGGAUUGACCCCUUCAGUGCCGCAGUUAACACAAUAAGUAAAUCCACCUGGGGAGUACGACCGCAAGGUUGAAACUCAAAGGAAUUGACGGGGGCCCGCACAAGCAGUGGAGUAUGUGGUUUAAUUCGACGCAACGCGAAGAACCUUACCAAGUCUUGACAUCCUGCGACGGUGCUGGAAACAGUACUUUCCUUCGGGACGCAGAGACAGGUGGUGCAUGGUUGUCGUCAGCUCGUGUCGUGAGAUGUUCGGUUAAGUCCGAUAACGAGCGCAACCCUUGUCCUUAAUUGCUAACAUUAAGUUGAGAACCUUAAGGAUACUGCCGGCGAUAAGUCGGAGGAAGGUGAGGAUGACGUCAAAUCAUCAUGCCCCUUACGUCCAGGGCUACAGGCGUGCUACAAUGGCCGGUAUAAAGAGAAGCAAUACCGUGAGGUGGAGCAAAUCUCCAAAGCCGGUCCCAGUUCGGAUUGUAGUCUGCAACUCGACUACAUGAAGUUGGAAUCGCUAGUAAUCGUGAAUCAGAAUGUCACGGUGAAUACGUUCCCGGGUGUUGCACACACCGCCCGUCA
rnacentral:rRNA from 1 species